GAUGAACGCUGGCGGCGUGCCUAAUACACGCAAGUCGAGCGAACAGACGAGGAGCUUGCUCCUCUGACGUUAGCGGCGGACGGGUGAGUAACACGUGGAUAACCUACCUAUAAGACUGGGAUAACUUCGGGAAGCCGGAGCUAAUACCGGAUAAUAUAUUGAACCGCAUGGUUCAAUAGUGAAAGACGGUUUUGCUGUCACUUAUAGAUGGAUCCGCGCCGCAUUAGCUAGUUGGUAAGGUAACGGCUUACCAAGGCAACGAUGCGUAGCCGACCUGAGAGGGUGAUCGGCCACACUGGAACUGAGACACGGUCCAGACUCCUACGGGAGGCAGCAGUAGGGAAUCUUCCGCAAUGGGCGAAAGCCUGACGGAGCAACGCCGCGUGAGUGAUGAAGGUCUUCGGAUCGUAAAACUCUGUUAUUAGGGAAGAACAAAUGUGUAAGUAACUAUGCACGUCUUGACGGUACCUAAUCAGAAAGCCACGGCUAACUACGUG
rnacentral:rRNA from 1 species